GCCAGCGUAGCGUAGUGGUUUGAGUGCCUGACUGAGACUCUGGAGACUAGGGUUCGAUUCCCAGCUUGGCC